rnacentral:misc_RNA from 1 species
AAGUUUAGACGUGAUACAUUAAAACUGGUGGCCCUUGAGCACUGUUUCCUGAACAAUGCAUGAACAGUCCUGAAUUCAGAGUGUUUUCUCUUUUGUUCUCCUCUCAUGGUAUGGGUGACCUGGCAAGAAAUUGUUGCGCCUGCUUUCCAGAAAGUGAUGGAGAAAUUUAGCGACCUAGAAUUUGAACCGUGAAGAUCUACGUGCCAAAGUCUCCGCGAUAUUGUUGUCUGCAAUAUAUGUUACAACAAAGAACAAAACUUGCAACAUACACACCAGAAAACUUGCUAAAUAUGUGACUACGUACUGGCAGAAUAAAGAGAAGAGUGAGCUAAUCAGAGUAGAGGAGGCAUGGACUGAGAUUUUUUGGGGGCCUGAACUCAGAUGGGGGAAGUCAAUGUUGGUAUCAAUGUUACAUGUGUUGUUCUGUGUUGUAACAUAUAUUGCAGACAACAAUA